rnacentral:rRNA from 1 species
CCUACGGGAGGCUGCAGUGGGGAAUAUUGGGCAAUGGGCGCAAGCCUGACCCAGCAACGCCGCGUGAAGGAAGAAGGCUUUCGGGUUGUAAACUUCUUUUGUCAGGGACGAAGCAAGUGACGAUACCUGACGAAUAAGCCACGGCUAACUACGUGCCAGCAGCCGCGGUAAUACGUAGGGGACAAGCGUUAUCCGGAUUUAUUGGGUGUAAAGGGCGUGUAGGGGGGAAUGCAAGUCAGAUGUGAAAAUGAUGGGCUCAACCCAUGGCCUGCAUUUGAAACUGUAUUGCUUGAGUGCUGGAGAGGCAAGCGGAAUUCCGUGUGUAGCGGUGAAAUGCGUAGAUAUACGGAGGAACACCAGUGGCGAAGGCGGAUUGCUGGACAGCAACUGACGCUGAGGCGCGAAAGCGUGGGGAGCAAACAGGAUUAGAUACCCCUGUAGUC